rnacentral:lncRNA from 1 species
AACAGUAGGACAACCAGAAGUGCCUGAGUAAGGAUUUCGGUGCUCAGUGAUACGGUUCACUAGACGACGUUGUCAACACGUAAUGGCGGCCAUUAUUUGACGUUGGAUUUGGCAUUCCACACUGAAAAGUUGCAUUUAUGACAUUCUUGGAUGCUUAAACUUUAUGCUAAACAACACAAAAGGUAAAGGUUUAUUCCAUAUAUCUCAGUAUUCAUUAUCAAAUAAGUCGGAUCAUAAGAAAUGAUUUAAACGGCAAAAAAAGUGUAAAACUAUAUCAAACAUGAAAAUUGAUAUCUAAUUUUUCAUCAUUUCCUUUUCAUAUACAAGUAUUGAAUCAACUAUUUACUGGUGAAUUACAUUCGGAUUUCGGUCUAAGGUAUCCGCCCUUGUCUCCGGAAAUAUUAUACCAACACAAGCUGUCAACAUCCGUUUUCAAACUGGUCAAGUGUUCUUCUCAAUCUCCCUGGAAAAUAUUCACGCUAUCACUUCUUGCUCAGAUAAUAGAAAAUUGUAAACCUCUUACUGCAAAUACGGACCAUAAUGAAUCAAAUUCGAAAGCACGUAUGAUCAGGCUUUAUGCCGAUUUGGAAGUUCUCUAAAAAGGAUUAUAAUUUCAAGGCCCAAAAAUAUAGGCAACUGAGGCUAAACAAAUUUUGAUGAAUGGCUCGGGUUCAACUCAAAAGUCCAUGUAUUAAAUCAUUGGAAUGUAAGACAUAUUCACUUUCACUGUUGGCUAUUUUAUACCUGGUAUAAUAUUGCAUUUGGAAAAAAAUAUUUGUGUCCCUGAUUUCAUAUAGUGCACCAAAAUGUAAUAGUUAUAAAAAUUAAAUCUGUCAUAAACAUGAAAUGCAAUGGGAAAUCGAUCACAGGCACAGACUCCUCUUUCUUCAUAUACAAAAAAAAAAAAAAAAAAAUUAGAUAGCCAUCCUCUAAAUUCAUAUCUCACAUACAUUUUAAAAGAAAUUUACACAUUGAAAUUAACCACUGGCAUUGAAUCAUCCACCCGUUUGAGAGCUUACACAUGCAUUAACAUGUAACUCCAUGACUAUUACAAAUUUAAUAUGCCUGUACAAUGUCUUUAUAUCCAUCAUGUUAUAUUAUUCCUAAAGGCUAUAGUCUUAUAUAUAUAAACAUUAUUUAGAAAAAUUAUGAUAAUCCAUCGACAAUCUUAAUUACUUUCAGAAAAUGUACUCCAACUUCAUUAAUAUCAUAAUAUCAUUAAAUUAAUGGUGUUAUGACAGUGGUAGUUCAUGGAUUUAAUUUAACACUAGGUUGUGAGUACCCCCAAAAUGUAUAAAAUUUCAGCUUGCAUUGUACAAUGGACAUGCUAGAUAUUUAUGUACACUAUUAUAAUAUGUUUCCUUUGCCUGUAACUUUUAUGUAUUGAGCAGAAAUGCUAGAGGCAUAAUCAUUUAUAAUACAUAAUAAAUAUAUAAAAUUGAGAAUGGAAAUGGGUAAUGUGUCAAAGAAAUAGCAACCCAACCAAAGAGCAAAAGUCGACGGCCACCAAUGGGUCUUGAUUGGAGCAAGAAAAUAUGUUAUUUCUUUGUAAUUUAUUUGGCAAAUUUGUAUUCAUGUGUUGAUAAUAACAAUGCAAAGUUUAAUUUUGCUUUGAAUGAUUUAGUAUAUUUAAUUGAUUUAGUAAUUGUAUGUGCAUUUGCUUUAUAUUUACAGGAUGGAGAAAAAUGUUUACUAUGAAUCAAAAAUUCAAAACAGAGGACUUUUAUAUAUCAACAAAAACACUUGCAGUACAUGCACAUGUAUGUAUCUACAGCAGAAAAAAGUAUUAUGGAAUGUCAACGAUGAGUAUGUUAAAAGCAAAAAUUUUGUAAAUAGAAAACAUAUGACUAGAAUAUAUUAAGGUAAGUAUCCAAAUGUGUUCGGUCAGGUAACAACGUGCGGUUUUUACAGUACGCAUGAUUUCAAUCCCACAAAUAUGAAACAAUAACAUGAUAGACAUUAGGGAUUAAAACUAUUUUGAUAAGGCAAUAGGCUAAAAAUAGUUUACAUUUAACACUCAGACAAGAAAAUUGCCAAUGGAAUAAAUUGGAAUGGAAGUUAAAAUUUAUAGUUUUGAUAUAGGUCAAAGAAUUAUACACAGAAAUUAAGGCCAAAUGGUAAACUUUAAAUUGUUUAAUGAUUUUAUACUAUUAUCUAUGCUGUAUAAUUUCAAAAUAGUUUCAUUUGGAUUUAAAACCUAAUUUCAAGAACGAAGGGUGCAGUUAUUUAAAAUUAAUUUAUAAAGAUAAAAAAUAAUAUAAGGGAAUUAACUCUUACAUGAUGUGCAUCAUAUUCAUGAGAAUGAAGUGUUUUAAUAAACAUGACCAUUUAUUUCAGAUAAGAGAAUGAAUUAAGCAGACCAUAUUUGGGUCAACGAUGCCAAUAACAAUGAAAUAAUAAAUUAUAAUAUCCUUCAUCAUACUUUUCACUUGGAUCAACAAACUAAUUUAUACAAAUUCUUAUUUUUAUUGUCAGUACACAACAUAUCCUGACAGAAGAAUAAUUUUACUGGAGGAUGAAAAUUUUGAUACCUCGAAUCAGCA